rnacentral:rRNA from 1 species
AUUGAACGCUGGCGGCAUGCCUUACACAUGCAAGUCGAACGGCAGCGCGGGAGCAAUCCUGGCGGCGAGUGGCGAACGGGUGAGUAAUACAUCGGAACGUGCCCAAUCGUGGGGGAGUAACGCAGCGAAAGCUGUGCUAAUACCGCAUACGAUCUACGGAUGAAAGACAGGGGAGUCGCAAGACCCUCGCGCGAAUGGAGCGGCCGAUGGCAGAUUAGGUAGUUGGUGAGGUAAAGGCUCACCAAGCCUUCGAUCUGUAGCUGGUCUGAGAGGACGACCAGCCACACUGGGACGUGAGACACGGCCCA